GUCAAUGACCAAAAGGUCCAAAAUGAAGGAAUGAGAAUCGUUUUGCAGGGCUAAUUUGAAGCAGCGAAAAAUCAUAGGGGCCACAGUGUAAACAUCUGUUCUUUCUUCCUACCCAUCUCUGCAUCUUCGCCAUUGAUUGAAGCUGUCGAGCUGUGAUGAACUGAAGAAAAAACUCGACUCUCAUUUGGACAGAAUCCCAUAUGGCUUUGGUGUAUAAUCUUCCUCAAAGUUUCCCCUGGAACCCAUCAAGAAUUCAGAAAAUGAGAACAUCCUCAGGUUCAUAUAUCAGCCAUAGACAACCUCAGAAGCUACAGAAAGUAAUCUGUGCAAAGGAGAGGAAGAGAUGCCUGAGGUGCAACACUAUUUAUCAAGAUAAAGAUAACUCUCCAACUGCUUGCUCUUUCCAUGGCCACACUAGUGUCUUGGAAAAUCAAAAGCUACAGUAUUAGGUGCACCUUCAGACUCCAGAAAGAACAAAUUUUCAUUUGUCCUGAGGAUAACCAGUAUAGCCGAAAAGCAUUUUUGUAAUUUGGCGAUGCAAGAGAAAAGAAAUUAUCAUCAAGUGGAGAUUAGGGCUGCUUCAUUAAGAUGCUAUAAUAUUGAUAUAGAGUUCUUCUAUAACUACAUUAUAAGUAACAAGGAGAGAGAGGAUUAUUUGCAUUUGCCCCACCACACCAAGGUAUUGAUGGAGAGUGGAGCGAUAAAUCUGGUGUAAUUGUGUACAGAUGGAAUGAGAAGGAUAAUAGACCAAAUACAGGGAUAUCCAACUGGAAAAAGCGAUGGAGCUGUUGUGCCGAGUAUGAUGAGAAUGCCCCACCUUGCAGGCAAGGAUGGCAUGUAUCCUAUGAUGAUGGCUUCACUUUAUACUAACGGAACUUUGGUUAUGUGUAUAUCCUUUUGCAUUUGUAAAGCCUGCAAUCCACUAAUCAAUUACCUGCCGAAACAAUGACUAUUGAUCAAUGAGUUGGUAACGAGUGUUAUGGUUCAUAUUGUAAAGAAGGAACAUGGUUGCUUAUAUAUGAAAGGAUGCAUUUCCAAUGAAAACUUCAUUCAUCU